rnacentral:rRNA from 1 species
UUUUUUAAAAAUUUUUUAAAAUAAAACCUGCUCAAUGAACAUUAAAUAGCCGCAGUAUUUUAACUGUGCUAAGGUAGCAUAAUCAUUAGUCUCUUAAUUAGAGACUAGAAUGAAUGGUCCCACAUUUUCUUUUCUUUUCUAUUUUAAAAAUUAAAAUUUUAAUAAGUAUAAAAAUAUACUUAUAAAUAAAUUAGACGACAAGACCCUUUCAAACUUUACUGAAGUUUAGCUGGGGAAGCUAAAUAAUCAAAAUCUUACCUUAAGACUUUUCAAAAGACCUAAUAUAAUUUAACUAACUGAAAAAGUUACUGAAGGGAUAACAGCAUAAUAAAUUUAUAAAGUUCUUAUAUAAAAAUUAGAUUAUGACCUCGAUGUUGAAUAUUUCUCCUUUUAGGCGCAAGAGCAUAAAAAGGAGGUCUGUUCGACCUUUAAAUAUUUACA